AUUGAACGCUGGCGGCAGUCUUCACACAUGCAAUUCGAGCGAGCGGCGGACGGGUGAGUACUGUCUGGGAAACUGCCUGAUGGAGGGGGAUAACUACUGGAAAGGGUAGCUCAUACCGCAUAACAUCAGAUGUGCCCAUAGCGGAUUCGAUAGUAGGUGGGGUAAUGCCUCACCUGUGCGACGAUCCCUCUCUGGUCUUAUAGGAUGACCAGCCACCCUGGAACUGUGACACUGUCCAGACGCCUACGGGAGGCAGCAGUGGGGAAUAUUGCACAAUGGGCGCACGCCUGAUGCAGCCAUGCCGCGUGUGUGAAGAAGGCCUUCGGGUUGUAAAGCACUUUCAGCGAGGAGGCGUGACUCGCAGAAGAAGCACCGGCUAACUCAGUGCCAGCCGCCGCGGUAAUUC
rnacentral:rRNA from 1 species